ensembl:misc_RNA Metazoa_SRP Metazoan signal recognition particle RNA
GGUGGCACGUGCCUGUAGUCCCAGCUACUCGGGAGGCUGAGGUGGGAGGAUCACUUGAGCCCAGGAGUUCUGGGCUCUAGUGCGCUAUGCCGACUGGGUGUCCACACUAAGUUCGCCAUCAAUAUGGUGACCUCCCGGGAGCGGGGGACCACCAGGUUGCCUAAGGAGGGGUGAACCGGCCCAGGCUGGAAACGGAGCAGGUCAAAACUCCCAUGCUGAUCAGUAGUGGGAUCGUACCUGUGACUAGCCACUGCACUCCAGCCUGGGCAACAUACUGAGAACCCAACUUUA